rnacentral:rRNA from 1 species
ACAUGAAGCCGGAAUCGCUAGUAAUCGCGGAUCAGAAUGCCGCGAUGAAUACGUUCCCGGGUCUUGUACACACCGCCCGUCACACCAUGGGAGUUGGAAAUGCCCGAAGUCAGUGGCCCAACCGGAAGGGGGAGCUGCCGAAGGCAGGUUCGAUGACUGGGGUGAAGUCGUAACAAGGUAUC